rnacentral:rRNA from 1 species
CACGUAGGGGGCGAGCGUUGUCCGGAUUUAUUGGGCGUAAAGAGCUCGUAGGCGGCUCGGUAAGUCGGGUGUGAAACCUCCAGGCUCAACCUGGAGACGCCACCUGAUACUGCUGUGGCUAGAGUCCGGUAGGGGAGUGUGGAACUCCUGGUGUAGCGGUGAAAUGCGCAGAUAUCAGGAGGAACACCGGUGGCGAAGGCGGAUCUCUGGGCCUUGCCUGACGCUGAGGCGCGAAAGCUAGGGGAGCGAACAGG